GUAGAGAUAGCCAAGCCAGGUUACGGCGCCAGACUGAGGCUCUGGUUCGGUAGCGAACCGAGGGUUCGAAUCCCUCUCUCUACA
rnacentral:tRNA from 1 species